UGAAGUCUUGUAGAUAUGCCAAAGA
rnacentral:piRNA from 1 species